AUUGAACGCUGGCGGCAUGCCUUACACAUGCAAGUCGAACGGCAGCACGGGAGCAAUCCUGGUGGCGAGUGGCGAACGGGUGAGUAAAGUAUCGGAACGUGCCCAGUCGUGGGGGAUAACGUAGCGAAAGUUACGCUAAUACCGCAUACGAUCUAUGGAUGAAAGCGGGGGAUCGCAAGACCCCGCGCGAUUGGAGCGGCCGAUAUCCGAUUAGGUAGUGGGUGGGGUAAAGGCUCACCAAGCCGACGAUCUGUAGCUGGUCUGAGAGGACGACCAGCCACACUGGGACUGAGACACGGCCCAGACUCCUACGGGAGGCAGCAGUGGGGAAUUUUGGACAAUGGGCGCAAGCCUGAUCCAGCCAUGCCGCGUGCAGGAUGAAGGCCUUCGGGUUGUAAACUGCUUUUGUACGGAACGAAAAGGUUUGACUUAAUACGUUGGACUCAUGACGGUACCGUAAGAAUAAGCACCGGCUAACUACGUGCCAGCCGCCGCCGUAA
rnacentral:rRNA from 1 species